CUCAUGAAAUGUGGUACCAAAACAUCAAUGAAGCCUUACCAGGCACUAUAACUGUUAAGAGUAAAGGUAAGGGUUGAUAAAGAUUACAGGGAAAUUUUGGAUAAUAAUUGGCAUGUUCAACAAGGCUUUAUGUAAACAAGUUUCGUGUCCUUUACCUGAAUUUUUGAUGGGAAUGAAUAUUAUGUCUGGCUUGGAAAUACUUACUGAACUUGGUAUUAUAAUGCAAAAAUCUGCUGAGGAAUUUGCAAUGGAGGUGACAGUGAGAAAUGUAAAGUCAAUGAAAUUAAGGUUAAAUUUCAGAAGAGAAUUCUUGUGCUUGAAUACAUUUCACUUGAAGUGGUUGCAUCUCUUUUGUCUGAUUAUAUUAUGAGAUGGACUUUCAUAUAUUACUGGAUAAUAUUUUUCAUAUCUAGUAUUGCAAAGCAGAGAUGUGUUAAUCUGCCCUAAUAAUUGGACAUGCUAAAUGAUACUCAACAUGAUUACCUGAAUCCACAUAAUGUAGAACAGAAGCUGGUGUGUUAGUUGGGACAAAUUCUAUGUAUAAUAGUCACACACGGAAACUGUAAGCUAUGAGCACCUCUCAGCAAUUACUAAGUGGUUCUUAGAAGUAGAGAAUUUUCAUUUGAGGGACAUUUUCUACCAUGCUAUUGUAUAUUAAUUGAAAUUACUCCUACAACUAUCGGACAUAAAAUAAUCUUGAAUCCUCAAAUCCUCCUGAUGUUAGGUGAUCAGAGAAACAUUCUAAUGGGGUGACAAUGCACAUAUUUCCAUAAUGAUGUACUUUGUUUCCAGAAUGGCCCCCUAAAUUGUAUGUGUUGAAAGCUAGGCACCCCAUGAAGCAGAGUUCAGAGGUGGGGUCUUUGGAAGGUGAUUGUAUUAUAAAUGUUCUCACAUGGGGAUUGGAUUAACCACUUAAUUCAUAGCUUAAUUGUCUAUUUGGAAUCUUUAGGAGGUGAGACCUAGUUGGAAGACCCAGGCAAGCCUUUCAAUGGCAUAUUCUGUGCCCUGUUUUUUUUUUGUUGUUGUUGUUUGUUUGUUUGUUUGUUUUCUAUCUCUUCCCUUCCUGGCCACCAUGUGAACAACUUUCCUCUACCAAAUGAUUCCUGCCUUGGUUUUCUGUCCUACGACAGGUCCAGAAACAAUAGAAACAUGUGACCAGAAACUGAAAUCUUUGAAAUUGUGAAAAUGAAUAUUUUCUUCUGUUGGUUUUCUCAGGUGUUAUCUCAAAGCAGUGGAAAACUUAUUAACUCACAUAAUAAAAUAGAAAUGUUUUAUAUAGACUCUUGAUACUGGGAAAAUGCUAGGAGAUAUUCACAAUCAAGGAGGCUCUUUUUCCCCUAGGACUAAAUUUGGAACUACAUAGGGAGCUGCCAGUUUCUUUCAUCAUUUGGACAGUGCCUUAUAAACAGAUCUUAACUGAUCAAUAGAGCUGUUUGGUUUGUAGAUGGCAGUUCUAAGGUCAAGGAAAAGGAUCCUGUUUCAAAGACCACUUCUGAUUAAAAUUGGUAAAAACCAAUCAUUUUGGUAGGUUGAAUUACAUUCUUGAAGUGAUGGUAAAAUUGAAUUGUGAUUAAAAUCGCCUGUGUUUGAGAUUUUAUUGACUCGUGGCCUGUGCCACACGGUCAAGUAGAAGGACAAUGGAACAUUUUUCUAAUAAAAGGAUGUUUAUAUGGGGAACAGACUAUGGAAAUCUCUAUUGGAAUCUGAGAUGUUCAUUAAAGUAGGAGCAGUUGAUUUCUAUUAGAAUCCACUAAGGAUUGGAACCACUAAGUGGAUCCCUUGGUGCACUACUUUGAGGUAGCCAUCUGGCAACAUGACAUGGGUGGAACUUGGGAAGGGGGUGAGUAUAGCAAUGUAGAAAUAAGUUGAAUCAAGAUAUAUUCCUCUUAUACCCUAAAAAGCAUAAAAGACCAGUAAGAACUGUUUAGUUUGUUAAUAAAAGAGACAGAGAUUACAAAUGGCUUUGUGGGUAGAUCUCCUGGGAAAGGGCUCUGAAAUUAGCUAGCAAGAUUUAUGUCAGUAACUCCAGGGGGGCUAAAAAUGGGGAUGAUCAGAAACAGACACUGACUCUGGCCUGUGCAUUUAUAUCCAGGAUAAGGUGCAAAGGCUCAGAUAGAACCAGAAUAUAAAGUAUUGCACCAAUUUGGAAGGUUGGUCACCUUCUAUUCAGACCAAGAAACACACUUUAGCCCAUAAUGUCCAACAGUGAACUACAGUUUGACAGAAUUAUAAAGGGCAAUUGAAACAUUGAUUAUAUAUGUAGGAGUGGAAGGAAAUCUCAACCCCCAAAGGUAUAAACUUUGAGGCUACUAAAACAAACUAAGAAAAGACAGAUUAAUGUAAAAAGGGGGUGCACAUUGAUUAGCAUGUCAAUGCAGGAGAAUCACACAAAUCUAGAAAAGGUAAUAUGAGUUUACUGGAUGAUAACACUUUAUAGUUUUCUAUGAAAGCCAUAGAAGUGCCAGAUGACUGAGACUUGAAUAACCUUUUUAUAGGAGACAAGGAAGUGGGGACUCAAGGCAUUUUUAAAUGGAGAAUAAAUGAUUUUUAUAGGAGAUAAAUGGGCUUGAAGAAUAAUCAAAGUUCACCUAAGAAAAAAUUGACCGGGUCUCUGGGUGAUGUGUCCACACUGAUCCUUCCUCUUUUGAGUUAAUCUUCUUUAGUUAAUGAAAUUUGUGGGGAGGGAGCAUUCAAAACUAUUGUAUUCCUUCUUGAAGGACUUCCUUCAUCAGAUGAGGGAAUUUCAGAGAAUGAUUCCUUUUAUCUUGAGGGGGGCGGGGAAAGGAAGGGAGAAAUGAGAAGGUAUCAUUUUUCUGAACCCCAUAUCUAAAAUGUGGUGGGAGAUAUAGGCAGAAGGGCUGGCUCACAUUCCUUCAUGAAUGUGUACUCACACCCAACAUGGCAACCAGGGGGUGAUGUGGGAGUAUCUUCUCUGCAUAGAUUAUCCUGUUUUGAUUUAGGAAAGAGGGGUACACGGGUAUGCCUGCGUUUCUUCCAAGGGUGGAGCAUACUGGUAUGAUGACCAUGCUUUUCUUUCUUCUUAGCAAAUGUUUGAACUGUAAGAAGGAGUUAUGGAAAACUUUUAUUUAUGCUCAAUAAGCCAGAAAUACUAGUGAUAACUGGGACUUGCAAAUGUCAAUUGAAACGGGGGCAGUCUUAAGGGACUGAAUCCUCAAUCAGAGAGUCUGAGCUAAUUCUGAGAUGAAUUUUUUAACACCCAGGUAGAGUCUAGAAAAUUGGAGAAUUAUCUGUGGGUAUUGAAAUUUAUCCCAGAAAAGGUAAUAUGAGUUUACUGGAUGAUAACAUUUUCCAGUUGGAAAGAAACCUGGCCACUGGCUAACUCCAAUUUUUGCUUACUGUAGAUGAGAAAAACAUGAUAGAAAUUGGUGUAUCUAGGUUCUAUCUAUUAGUGCAUACAACGCAUACAACCAGUAGAAAGAACAAUUUACUCCUCAUACAGGCAUCUUUUUAUUUUUAAUAUUUUCUAUACAUUAAUUACUUGUAAAAAGCAGUCACAUCCUCAAAUUAUAUUACAUGUAAUGAAGGACUCAAGUAAGUCAAGACCAUAAACUUUUAGUAUAUUAAUAAAGAAGACAUUCUAACAUCCUUAGUCUGGCAAAAUAAUCCAUUCUUCCCACAUCUGCCACAUUUUAAUAAUGACGAGUCCAAUAACAAAACUUAACCCAUAUCUUCAAAAACAUGGAGACCUAGUGCCACGAUUAUAUUGCUUUAAUUCAUGGUUUUACUCUCAUUUUCUCUCCCUGUGAUUUUUAUUAACUCAGUCUUUCUCAGUGUUUGUUUGUGAAUGUUUAUUGAGAACUUAAAUUCAGGGUAAUUUGGGCUGUAUUCUUAUUACCUUAUUUAGUCUUAAGCCUUAACUUUAAUACUGUGUGUUUUUAUUGAGUCAAUAAUUUGUCCAGUUUCACAAGUGCUUUAGACAUAAAAAUCAUAAAACUGUACCUUUUCCAGGCUAAACUAAUAGUUACUAACAUAACCAGAACUGUACAGUUCCAAAGGGCUUCCUUACACUGUAUUUACCUAAGGGGCUGAACACUCAUCCCCUAAGCAUACAACAUAGUCUUUACUGUCCUGAAACCAGAGUAUUGUUUUCUUUUAAGGAGAACUCUAAUAGGCACUAAAUGUCAAAAAUCACUUUAAAAUCCUUAAAUAUUCAUCUUCAAAUAAAGUAACCAAGAAAGAACAAUAUUAAGACUUUCUUUUAUCUCAUAGUAAAAUAACUGAUGACUCGACUACACUCAACUUUUCUCCCAGGAAAUUUUAUUUGGAAUUUCUAAGAUAUCUUCAGUUUACAGACUCUUAAAAGAGAAACUUAAAUUUAAGUGAGUUACUUUGUAUUUAAAAGCCUAUUUUCCUCUCCUCAAUUAAAAUAAUAUGUGAUUGCAAGACAGUGGGUACCAUGGCUACAUACAUAUUGAUUUGCUUUCGCUCUUCUGACGGCAUUUCAAUUUCAAAACGUGUUUUUUUUUUUAUAAUGUGCUUUGCUUUUAGCCAUUCCAAUUGCAUUAUUUUCUGGUAUGAGAAAACUAGAACACAGUAUCAGCAAUCACGCAUUCUAAAAAGAUGCAAUUGAUUCUUAGGAUAAAAGAGCCAUUACCCACCACAUUUUAGCAUAAGCAGGUAUCAUGAUUCACAUUUCUAAGGACAGAUGAAACUCACUGAAGCACAAAUUUCUAUGUGUAUCUCAAUGCUGUGGUGAUGGUUUCCUAUAAACAUGCUUAGUAAAUGAAAUGCAAACAAAUACAGCAUUUAGGACUGCCACUACAGAAGCAGAUGUGGAAGAUAGCCAACUAAAGUUUUGUUGUUGUUGUUGUUGUUGUUUUUUUAACUUGGCUUCAGUUAACCAAUUUAACAUUCUUGGAGAGGCAUCAUAUAUACGGUGAGCUAGUAUUUAAACAGGGAGAGUGGCUUAACAUUCAGAUCCUGCAAUCUCUCUGACAGUCUUUAUGGAACAAUUUCUGAGGAGUUGAUGGCAAUUUUAAUUAUGAACAAGUAGCCAUUAGCCUGGAUCCUGUGAACUGUUCAACUGAUAACAUGAAACAGAAGUUUUUUCUGCAGGUGGGUUAACAACUGCUGCCAAAUACCUCUCUAUCUUUACAUCUUAGAGUAAGCCUAUAGCAGAUAGGUUGAAUAAUGUCCUCUGUCAAGAAUCCCCAAGUUGAAAAGUUCUAUUUCUUGUGAAAAAAAUAAAAAUAAAGGUGAUUGAUGCUAAAGGCUAGGCUCCUUGUGUCUUCAAAAGACAAAGUGAUCCUUUGAGACAAUACUGUUUCAUUUUAUAAGAUAUAUUUAAGCUAUCUCCCAUUUUAUUUUUCUGAAGUUGAAAUCAUAGGAAAGAUUAGCCCUCUAAAUUUAAUUGCCUAUAAUUUUGCUAUCAAGACAGCCCAUCAAAGAGCUCUACAAACAGAUUGUGAUUGAAAAUGAGAGACAAGUGUCUAGCUAUCUGCAAAACUAAUUUGAGCACUAAAUUAGAAUCACCCUGUUAUGCUUUGCCUGGAUCUUCUUCAUUUGCAUCUUGUGUACAUACCAACCCCCAAAUGCAUAUCUUCCUUUCACACAAGUCUAACAGUAUGCUAAAUGAUGGCAGAAUGCAUCUCCAGGGCUGAGCUUGCAAUCAGAUUGAUUUUUGAGAAUCAAAUUCCAACCCUAGGAAAUGAACAAAUUUCAGUGAUAUUGUUGACACAAAGAUCUAUAUAAAUAUAUUUGAGGGAAAGACAAGUGGGAAUAAAAAGGUAACUUCCAAUAUUAACAUGUAGUUAUUUAAGGGCAUCUUUGUGACUUUUUAGAAGAGUUCCAUCACAGCAGUGACUGAUUCUCUAAUUUCUCUCAACCAUAAUUGUUUUUAAACCAUCUUAGUAUAACUACUUGCUCCAAUUUGUUUUAAAAAGCAUUGCUCUUCCCGUUUCAAUAAAUAUGACUUCAAAUAAAACUUUAUCACAGACAGGAUGGGAAAAUGGCAUGAUAUGGGGUAAUUUCCUGUGAUCCAUGAGCCUCUUCUCAUGAAAUUUAUGUCAGCGUUGGCCUAGGUUGGACUCAGAGAACCUCACUAUUACUUGUUAUGGUUUUGCCAAUGUUGUUAUUGUCAUAUUUAGUUUUUACUAUAAUAAAUGAUCAGGUGCAAAAUGGAGGUGAGAAUUUUCAGGUAUAGAAACAUAGAGGGCUUAUGGUUUUUGAGGUUUUGCAACUUAAGUGAUCUAUGAGUAUGUGUCAAGUUGAGUAACUCUUAACUGAAUUCACAAACUCUAAUUCAAGUCUUUGCCUUACAGAGAUCUGUUUUUUUUUCCUUCUCAAUACUUCACAUUGGGAUAUUACUAAAUCAAAGAAAAUGUUUUGCUGCAAAGAAAGUAACUUUCCUACUUACUCAAAUUUUAUUUUCACAAGAAAGUAAUAUAAAUAUGAGAAAAUAUUAGAUGAUUCAUGGGAACCUACCUAGAAGUUUCCUUACUACAUAGCAGUAAACACUUGAAAAGAAAAAAAUAUAUAUUUCUCUCUCUCUCUCUCCCUCUCUCUCUCUCUCUCUCUCUCUCUCUAUAUAUAUAUAUAUAUAUAUAUAUAUAUAUACACAUAUAUAUACACACAUACACAUAUAUACAUAUAUAUGUGUUUGUGUUUGUGUGUACACACACACAAACACAUAUAUAUGAAUCUUUAUGUAUAAUUAUACAUAUUUAAUAAAUUUAUACAUAUGCAUAUAUUAUUUUAGGAGAAUAUUUAAAAACAACCAAAUUUAAAGUGUGAAGGGAGUUCAGAGGCCAUGUUAGCAGGAGAUUGUUAUAUACAGGUGAGCAGUGCCAGUUAUGCCCAUGCGUCUGCUUAUACUUAUCCCCAACUAGGCAAAAUGCACUUGUCAUAGUUUGGGUUUUCUGAGAUGCAAAUUAGGAGAUAAUAUUAGCAUGCAUUUCUUUUUCAGCUUUUAUUGACAAAUAAAAAUGUAUAUAUUUAAAUAUAUAUAUAUAUAUAUAUAUAUAUAUUUAGCAUAUAUAAUGUGAUAUGUGUAUACAUAUAUAAAAUGGUAAAACAAUUCCUACGGUGUCACAAACUAAUUAGCAAAUCCAUCACGUCACACAGUUUCUUUUUUUAAAAAUGUGAUAACAAUACACAAAUUCUGCUCUUUUAGCAAAUUUUAGGUACACCUAAUAUAUAUUUGUUGUGGUUGUGUUUGUUACUAUACUUGGAAUUGAACACAGUGCUUACCACUGAACUACAUGCCCAUUACUUUUUAUUUUUUAUUUGAGACAGGGUCUCUCAUUAAGUUGUCCAGGCUGGCCUCAAACAUGCGAUACCUGUGCCUCAACCUCUGGAGUCACUGGGGUUACUGGUGUGCGCUGCUGUCCUCAGCUCUUCACAGUAAAUGAUCAACUAUGUACACUGUGCUGUACAUUAGGUCCUCAAAUAACCACAAAUUUCUAACCUGUGAAAAACUUCUCAUUUCCCUCACCCUCUAACCCUCCUAGUAACCACCCUUCUAUAUUCAUUUUCUGAGUUUGGCUUUUUAAAAUUCUAUGUAGGGCUCUUAUUAGGGACUGCUUUGGGUUCUAGACCCUUUGGAAAGUAGGAGAAAAGGUAAGCAGUUUGGAUAAAGAGAAAAAUUUGUUUGUGAUUCAGUCCCAACAACUUGUCAACCUUCUCCACAGGGAGCUCUUUAGUUGGGCUGGAUUCCCAGAGUUGGCUCACAUUAGGGUGAACAAGGAUCUGGCUCCAGUACUCCUCUGUUGAUCAGGUAUUGAGUGAGAGUUUCACCUCACAGGAAUGAACUGAGGCGAGGUGGGCUCUUUGUUUUUGAUUAGAGCUCUCCCAAGUAGGGCUGCCAGCUGAGGGUCAUCUUGUUGAACUGCUCACAGUGAGGAGAGAAAGUCCUACUUCCCUUAAUGGACUACUGGAGAGGUAAUGACUCACUGCAUUUACCAAGGACUUCCUCAUGUUUUGUAUAAUGUGAUUUCCCAUAAAUAUCCUCAGACUCAACUCAUGUAAAAUACCAUCCUGUCUCUGCACACUUCCUUGACUUCUCAGGUAGGAUUGACCAUCCCCCUUUUAUUUAACUGCAGAAUCCUUUAAAGACAUAAUUAUAAAUAUUCAAAGUUCUUAUUACAAUAUUUUUUCUGCAUAUUGUUAUUUUCUACAAUACUCUGAGCUAUUUGGAGACAGGACAUAUCCCUCAUCCUUGUGUUUUUAUCACCUAGCAUAGGACCAAGAACAGAGUUUGUGCUCAAUGAAAGGACAAAUGAAUAGAUAAAUUACAACAAAGAACUGAUUCUAAUCCUCACUGAAAAACAGUUAAGGUGGAACAUUAAAAGAAUACUAGAGAUAAAAAGGAGACAGGUUUGCCCUUUGAGAAUGAUGUGCACUGAAGAAAAUGAGCCAGACAUGCAAGUUGAUUUCUAGUGGCUGUGUGUGUCCUAUGAAGGAGGAGAAUUCAUUUGAUCACACUGAGUAAAGAGUUUAUCGGCAUCUCCAGUGCAGUUAGGAAUGUGGGGGAAUAAAAAUUUUUAAUUGCAUAACACUUUCUAUCUUCUAAUAAGAGAGAUAAAGCAAGGGGAAAAUAAAAUAAAAAGACUACGGGCUGGGAUUGUGGCUCAGUGGUAGAACGUUCACUUAGCAUGGGCAGGACCCGAGUUCGAUUCUCAGCACCACAUAAAAAUAAAGGCAUUGUGCUGUAUCCAUCUACAAAAAAGAUUCUCUCUCUCUCUCUCCUUUAAAAAAAAAGACUAUGUGUAAUACAAGUCAUAAAAAUAAAAGCAAAUUUUUCUUGUUGGAAGGGAUUCACAGAAUAAGAAAAUAUAAUUAACUGGAAAGGUAAGCAAAAUUUCAGGAAGGUAGUAACUUUUGAACUUAACCUUCAUAUUUUUAUAACUAAAUGUGAUCAGUUUGGUGAUGUAUGCUAGGUCAUUUUCUCUUAGAAGCAAAAAGAAUGAAUUAAAUAUGGGAGACAAUUAAUGGGGAAAAUAAAAAUAAAGGAUGAAAGGAAAGGUAGUGGAAAUAGGAAGAACUUUAGAAAUUUAUACAGGGAAAAAAAACAUGAUGUAGAUCUGAUACCUAUGGUAUGACAGAGGGUAGUAGGAAAAUUGAAUAGAAAGUCUCAUAUUGCAGUGAAAUUUUGACAGAAUCUUAGACAGGCAGAUGGGGAAGCCUUGGAGCAAAGAUCACUCAUUACAGGAUAGCCACAAGCAGUCAUUUGCUGGGAGCAUCCCAGGAACAAUAUGGCCUUGGUACCAAUGCUGUGGUGAAUUCCAAAUAGAUGGCAGCUGGAAGGUUUCAGAAUUCCUUGAUUCAAGAUCUUUCUCUCUCUCUCUUUUUUUAAUUUUUUUUGGGGGUUGUAGAUGGACACAAUAUAUUUUAUUUAUUUUUAUGUGGUGCUGAGGAUCAAACCUAGUGCCUCACAUGUGCAAGGUAGGAGCUCUACCUCUGAGCUACAGCCCCAGCCCUCAAGUUCUCUCUUAAAGGAAGAUCUGAGCAGUGCAUACCAUAAAUGUCAUAGGCAGAAAAGAAAACAUUUCAGGAGAAGGAACCACACAGCUAAAGUCAUAGGAUACACAACUGAAAUCUUUGGUUGCAAAUGUUAACAGAAUCUAUGAGCAAACACUAGUGGCUAAGGAGUAAAGGCAGGCAACUAUCUAAGCCCCACCAUUAUUUUAAUUAUUUGUUUUGUUUAUAAUUUGUCUACUAGUUGAUAUGAUUACUCAUUUUUUCCUUCCUUCCUCCCUGCCUUCCUUCCUUCCUUCCUUCCUUCCUUCCUUCCUUCCUUCCUCUCGUCUUGCAUCAAAGAAAAUGCCUAUGAGCCCAACAGCAAUCAUAACCUUCUAACUAUAGUUGUUUAAAGAAAAAAUAUUUUUUUUCUUGCCAAUGACCUUCAAUAGCAGUGUCUCAUCCAUUUCCUAUUCCCAUAACUUAUGUGCUGUGCCUCUCUAACAAAGAAUGUGAGCCUCUUGCCCAGCUUCAUUGCAUAUUCUUUUCCAACACAAAAUACUUUCAGGGCUGAAAAUGAUUAAUUCUGAUAUAAUUCACAUAUGGAUAUGUUGGUAAAAUAUUUGUUGCUGCAUCUGUGCUGCAGCGUUUAUCUACCUCCUAUAGGAAAUCAGGUUUUGACAGGUGUUUUAUGUGUCCAAUUGUGAUACCUGCUUUCCCCGAAAGAAGUUAAGAAGCACAUAGCAGAAUGUUUUGAAUACCCUUUAUAACAAUUUAUCAGCAAUAAUUUGUUUGUUUGUGUGAGUUAAAAGUGGCCCUGGUGACUGGGACAGCCUGACCAAGAGAACAUACACUGACCCUUGAUUUUGUUAUAUUUUUUUUCCAGCUUCCUCUGGAAAUUAGCGCUGUGCUCUCAAAGCUGUGAAAACUCCCUUCAAAAGUGCUGAUUACUAGUUGUAUUAUAGGUUGAGAGGCUGCUCCAAUAAAGACCCCCUACACUUUAAAAGCUGACUUCUGGACUUGGUGUUCUUGAUUUCUGUCAGUAGUGGAAUACACUUUGAGAGGACAGAUGCACAUUCCUUUAACAUUCUUGAUGAAUCAGAGAAAUCUAUACCCUGCAUCUCCAAAGCAAAACAAACAAACAAACAAAAAAAAACCCAGCAGGAGUCCUGAGCAAAGGCAGUGAUUUCCUGUGCUGUGUCCCUUGGUACCAAUAAUGGCCCAGGGAACAGGAGACAGGAAAAGUUGGGAAAAAGACACAACUUCAGCCAAAGGAAGGGUAAACACUGGAGGAGACAGUUCCUUAGGGCAGAGUGGGAGCUGUGACUACUGGAAUUCAAGUGUACGUCUUCAACACAUCUACAGGGUUUUCCUGAUUGGGAAGUAGGGCACAAAUGGACUCGGGGUAACUGGGAGAUGAUGAAGAAGAAAGGGUGUAUGAAAGGGCUACAGAAUUUUGCUGCAUAAAACAUUCUACCCACACUUGCAUCUUAGAAAUACAACACAAUUUAUCUGUUAAAAAAAUGUUUGGGUGGGACAGGAAGUGAAAGAAGAUGGCAUGCUGAACAGGUUUUAUGUGUUGUGUAUUUUUAGUAUAUAUAUCACAGAGGUUGGUCUUGAUGUAUUUUCUUUAAAAUUUUGUUUUUAGUUAUGCUUAUUUGUUGUUCUUUAUCAUGUGAAAAAUUAAUUCCAGAACCAUUUCUGAAAUUAUACUUGAUUCAGAAAAUGGUAAGUAUUUAAAUCCCAGUAGAUGCAUGUACAUUAGAGAUUGAGAAUUCUGCUUUUUUUUUUUCUAGGAACACUUUUCAUUGUCUAAGAGGAAACAGAGCUCUCAUCUGCUGGGAUUUGAACUAAAGACCUUGAGAUCCCAAGGUGAAUGCUCCUUCACAGGACCUCAAAACAGUCUGCUUGGAAUAAAUGAAUCUCUGAUUAAUCCAAUUUAUGUUAAAAACAGUACAGAUAGGGCCUGCAUUUCCCGGAGAAGGAUGAAUCAGCUUUCAUGGUCUAUUGCAAAUGCUGCAUUCUUUGGGCCUUCAAACUGAAGAGAAGACCUUUGUUCACUGAGGGGAAAAGUUCUGCUAAUGGUGUGGCAUGUUACAGGAUUUAGGCCAAAGAAAACUGCCAAUGAUCCUGACUUUUUAAAGAAAACUUCUGAUUUUGUUGCCAUGCUUUACCCUGUUUUCUCCUGACCUAUAAAAAUAAUUU
rnacentral:lncRNA from 1 species